GAACGACUCUCGGCAACGGAUAUCUUGGCUCUCGCAUCGAUGAAGAACGCAGCAAAAUGCGAUACUUGGUGUGAAUUGCAGAAUCCCGUGAAUCAUCGAGUUUUUGAACGCAAGUUGCGCCCGAAGCCUUUCGGCCGAGGGCACGUCUGCCUGGGUGUCACGC
rnacentral:rRNA from 1 species